AGCUCCAAUAGCGUAUAUUUAAGUUGUUGCAGUUAAAAAGCUCGUAGUUGGAUUUCGGGCCCAGGUGACCGGUCCGCCGUUUCGGUGUGCACUGGUUAGCUCGGUCUUUCUGCCGGGGACACGCUCCGUCUUAAUUGCCGGACGUGGAGUCGGCGAUGUUACUUUGAAAAAAUUAGAGUGUUCAAAGCAGGCUUACGCUCUGAAUACUAUAGCAUGGAAUAACACGAUAGGACUCCGAGCCUAUUUUGUUGGUCUUCGGGACCGGAGUAAUGAUUAAGAGGGACAGUUGGGGGCAUUCGUAUUACGGUGUCAGAGGUGAAAUUCUUGGAUUUCCGUAAGACGAACUUCUGCGAAAGCAUUUGCCAAGGAUGUUUUCAUUA
rnacentral:rRNA from 2 species